UUUAGAUUUUUCUUAUAAAGUGGGUAUUACACACAUGACCCUCUCCUCUAAGUCUCAGCGCAAGGCAUAUCCAUGUAGGGCUCUGCAGAGCCAGCGCCUCACCCUUACCACAUCCCUAAACCCUAGGUGAGUCGAGGUUGAGAAAUGGGAUGAAGGGAUGGCAUUUGAGUGAAAUAAUGUGGUUCAUUCUAUGAUAGAGCUUAGUUUAGCGCCUCCCGAACAAGAGGCUCAAGAAGUUGUUGAUUGGGAUGAGUAACAAAUUAUUGAAACAAUGGAUGGUGAAGGGAGAUUAGAAGUUGCUAGUGAAGAGCAACUGUACGUCCUUUUAGGUUUGAGAGAUGACAGCGAGAAAGCACAAAAGGAUUGACAAGAUGAUAGUCAACAUAAUCAUUCUAGUGUUACAAACAUAUAUUUAGAUUUAGGUGGUGCAACCAUUUAUGUUGAUGAUCACAUACCAAAUGAGUGGGUGAUUUUGUACAACAAAGAUAAACUAAAAAUGAAGCUAGGUGCUUUGUUUACCUCUAGAUAGAGUUUAGAUCAUAGUCUAAGGAAAUGGGGUCGAUGCCUCGUUCCAUGGCCCGGGUCAGCAUCCCAAAUCGUGGGUCGGGGUCACCAUGGGUCAUGGUCCCGAAUGCUAGAGAGUUGCUAUACCAUUGCACAUGGAACGACAU